rnacentral:rRNA from 1 species
AACAUGACUCUCGACAACGGAUAUCUCGGCUCUCGCCACGAUGAAGAAUGUAGUGAAAUGCGAUACUUAGUGUGAAUUGUAGAAUCCCAUGAAUCAUCGAGUCUUUGAACGCAAGUUGCGCCCGAGGCUCCGGCUGAGGGCACGUCUGCUUGGGCGUCGCAC